CACCCGAAGCCCCUUCCCCAGGGCACUGCCCACACCGGCCAAGGAGAGCAGUCUUCCUGCUGGCCAUCUGGGCCCUACAACCGUUUCCUGAGCUGGCCCCUAAGGAUGGUAGCUAAUCUGCCAAGCCGGGGGACGGGAUGUGGAGGACGUCCACCUUACGGAGCAGGAAGCCAAGGCCCAGGACCUGGACCCAAGCAGUGGGGUGAGCGCUCCACCAUCUGGAACCAACCCCACGGCACCACGCUGUCAGCCAGGCAGGAAACGGAAACAAAGCCGAAGCACCAGGUCACUGGCCAGCAGUUACCACCCAGGCCAGGAAAACGCAACUUGCAGGCCAGCAGCUUGGAGCCCCUGAGACCCUCCUGCACCGCAAGAUGACCAUCCUGUGGGUACCUGUUUCCGAGGUGGAUGUCCAAGCCCACACCUAAGCCCAGACCUGGCCAUCCACUGGGACCCAGGCCCCGGAGGAGCCCAGAGACGCUCAAGUCCUCAGGGCCCCGUGCCCUGGGCAGCUCAGAACGGCCGCCCCAGCCCCACUCCCGUCAAGGCCUCCACAGCCUCCCGGGAGAGCGGGGCCUGCAAUCUCGGACUGGCUGAGGAGUGGAGGGGGGCCGGCCCCACAAAGCGCGGCCACCGCGGUGCGGGCGCCCAGCACGCGGGCCACGAGGCGCUGAGGCGCUUCCUGUGCGGGUGCCGCCCGGCCCGGCCCCUCCCCGCCAUCCCCCGGCCGCGGCCGGCACACUGGGGCGAGCGGGGCUGGGCCAAGUGCGGAGCGGACGGUUCCCAAGACUCAGGCCCAGUCCGCGCCCCCCCCCCGCGCCAACCCCCGCCGCGGCCGCCCAUCCAGGGGCGGUGGCCCAGAUGAGCUCAUGGGGGGCGGGGCGCCGGGAGCCCCGCCCCCGAGCCCCCGAGCCCCCUCGGUCCCCGCGAAGCAGGGUGGUCCCUGACACCGCGGCCCGGCCCGCCGCGCCGACCGCCAUCACCCGGCGGGCACAGACCCGAGGCCCCCCAACGCCCCGGCCCGGCCGCGGGGCCCUGGGCCCGGCCGCGCAGAGGCCCCGAGACCCGGCUCGCGGCAACCCCCCGCGGACGACCCCCACCUGCCCGUCUGCCUGCCCAGGACGCCCAUCCGCGCCCGGCGCCCACAGGUGGCCCCGCACCUCGGCGGCCUGGCUGCGCCCCCUCUACCGGGCCUGGCGGGACGCGCGGCCUGCCGGGCUCGGGGUGCCCCUGUCCCCCGCCCUCCUCCAGCCCGGGCUCACCCAGAAGACGAAAUUGAAGACGAAGAGCAGGUACUUGAUGCACUUGGUGCAGCCCUCCACCCCCAUGGCGGCGCGGGCGGCGAGCGGCCUGCGGGGUGCGGGCCGGUCCUGGGCGCGAGGCGCGGGGCCUGGCGGGCGGCGGGGCCGGGGCGCGGGCCCGGGGCGCGGGGCGCGGGGCGCGGGGGCUCGGGGGCGCGGGGCGCGGGGCGCGGGAGGCCGGGCCGGGUCGCUCUAGGUUGACCGCCGCCGCUGCGCGCUCGCUCUCCGGUCGCGCGCGCGCCCCCGCCGCCUGUUAUAGGGCGCCGAGGCCCCGCCCACCGGCCCCGCCCCGGCCCCGCCUCCCGCCGCCCAAGCGCGCGGCUCCUCCCCCUCUGGAGCACGCGCUCGGUCGGGGGUCAGACGGGGUGCCCCCAACCCGCGGGCCUGAGCCCGCGCGGGGGGAGGGGGGACGGGCCUGCGGCCAGGGGCGCCCUGGGAAGACCCUCCCCUUCUCUCGUCCUCCCUCAGGUGCUUUGGAUAGUCCCAGGAGGCUCCCUGGAGGAGGUGACACACCAGCGAUGGUGUAGCCAAAAGUGCCCCCCGGAUGGGGACCCUGGGUGGGUGAUGAGGCCGACAGUCAGCCGGCCUGGCCUGAAGACCCUGGAACGCAAUUCCAGGCCCCCAAGCCCUUGUCCCACGGUAAGGGGGAGUUGAUGAGCACUGUUAGAGGUGUCUGUUUGGAAAGGUCCCUGAGAGGGUGACUCUAGACCAGUAUUGAAUGUCUGGGAGCCCCGAGCCACCUGUAGGACAAGCUCCAAAUACUGUGUACUUCGUGCCAACCCUGGUGAUGCCAGUAGCCCAUGGAGGCCAGCCCCGCAUGAGACCAGGUUCCUGAAGGUGUGGGGGCCAGGCCCUGCUGCCCUCCCCCCCCCCCCCCCCCCCCCCCCGGCUGAUGAGGACCCGGGGAGGCGACCCAUCAAGUGGGGGCUGCUUCUCCCCAGGUGACACGCGGAUGAAGAAGUGGAAAUGUUCUGUGUCUGCGUGACCCUAGCGCAAAUGACCGGAGACCCCUUGACGGGUGGCCGGCACCCUGACCCACCGGGACCUGGAUGUAUCACUGUAUCUCGCUGCCAUGCGAAUACCCUGGGUGGCCAGCUGCUUCAGGGUGGCCAGAGCGGCUUUCUCCUCUCUCUGCACUCCUACUUGUGUAGUUUUCUUGCUGGUUAAUUUAAAAAUCUGUUCUGGGGGCGCCUGGCUGGCUCAGUCGGUAGAGCGUGCGACUCUGGAUCUCGGGAUCGUGAGUUCAAGCCCCGUGUUGGGUGUGGAGCUUACUUAAAAAAAAUGAUGAUAUAGAUAAGAUAUAAUGAAAAUCAAAUCAAAAUCCAUUCUGGCUUCCUGCUUGUGUAAGAGCUCCAAGCACGUGUUUGUACAUAGUGUAAUGUUUGUGCACGUUGAGGGGUUGUUGUAAUAAAAGUGGCUUAAGUCCUCAUGUGGGGUCUGCCAGGAUCCUGUCUGCUGAAAAAGCAGGCAGAAGAGGCCUCCGGGGUGACGGGAUGCUUGUCUCCAUGUCCUGGGCACCCUGCUCUCCCAUCAGCUGCCUGCCAAAGCUGUGGGCUGAAUCCUCAGAGAAAGGCCUUCCCUGGGCCUUCUGGGAAUGGGAGCAGAGGGGGACCAUGAGCCCACCCUCAGGGAGCAAGGUAGGGGGCAGAACCUCCCACGCUGUGCCUUGGUGCACCGGCCCCAAAACAGGUCAAGUCCGGCCAGCUUGUUCUGAAGAUCAGGCAAGCAUCAGCCGGUUAGCAGGUCCCGCCUGUGUGCCAGGCGCUCUCCCAGGUGCUGGCGGCAGGAGCUGGCCAGCUAGGACCCCUUCCCUCAAGGACCUUAGAACAGAUGGCACCCCACAACCAUCAUGUCAAUGCUGAGAAGGGAGAGAAUUCCCAGGAUAAUUUAAGGGUAGUAUCAGAUGGGGCACUCUUCCAGCACUGGGCACUUGGAGGAGUCCACGGUGGACCCAGGCCCUGAAGACUGAGAAGGAGCCAGCCAGCCCUCCAAGGUGUUGGGGAGGAGCAUUCCGGGCAAAGCGGCGACACAUUUGGAGGAAAAGAAAGGGAGCCAGGGGAUGGGAGCAGAAAGGGGGAAGAGAGCUAGGUGCUUACAUUGGGGCAGGCUGUGGGGUCAGGAGCCAGCACUCAGGUCUGAAGCCUGAAUGGAACUGUGUUAGAUCUGAGUGCGUGGGGAGAUCGGAGGGUCUCUGCACAGGCCUGGUUCCUGCGUCGAAUGGGGACACAGAUGUCAGCUGGCUGCCUCGGCCCCACAGCAGAGCCGGCACCAACAGCACCUGGGGCUCACUGGGAAAGUGGGCCACGAGGGUGUGUGGGGCCACCUCUGGCUGCCUAGCACAGAUGGGCUCUGCCCCGGGUCCACUUCCGAAGUGCCCUGCCCAGUGGCCCCCCACCAGUUGACCUUGCGAGGACAACAGGGGACCCGCCAGCCGUGUUUCAGGGUCCUCCAGAGACACAGCAGGAGGAGACAGAAGGAGGCUCAGGUUACAGACUGGCGCAGGUGCUCAGGAAGCCUGGGAUGUCCCACCGUCUGCCACCUGCAAGCCGGGGACCCAGGAGGGCUGGUGGGGUGAUUCAGCAGAACCUGAAGCCCUGGGAGCCAGGGAGCCGGCGGUGUAAGUCCCAGUCCGAGGGCCGGAGAAGGUGAGAUGAGACGUCCCGGCUCGAGGGUUGAGGCAGGAGCAGGGGGAGAAGUCCUACCUCCUCCACCUUCUGGUCUACCCAGGCCUCAAGUGGACUGGGUGAGGCCCACCUGCACCGGGGAGGGCCAUCUACUGGCUGAGUCCACCGAUUCCAGGUCAGGUCGUCCAGAGACGCCCUCCCAGAGACGGCCCUGGAAACAACGUCCCGUCUGGGCACCCCGCGGCCAGUCCCCAUGACACGCCACGCUGAACAUCACAGGCAGUGGUGACAUGACCCAGGUUGGAGCGAUGGGGGCAGGUGGGCGUCCAAAGGGGCGUCCCAGGCUUGCCUGUGCCUGGGACGGGGAGAGCCCCGUCCUGAGAGGGGCUGGUUGUCCUGAGGGCCGGUGGGGCUGGUGGUGCGAUGGCCAUAGGGUGGGCACCCUGGCAAGAAGAGUCGGCCUUCGCCGCCCCCCUGGGUCUGGCUCCGAGUCUUCUGUGCAACUUCAUGCUGGUUCCUCAGUUUCCCCAUCUGUGGCAGUGCGGCUCCCAGUGUUCUCGGGUGGGUGACACGGGAGAACGCGCCCAGGCACGUGGGGCAGGGCCUGGCCUGGGGGAGGCGGAAGGGCUCUGCCUCCUUCAGGCUUGCUGGACCAAGAGGCAGGCACAGCGGCGGGGGCCCGAGCUCACGGCUCCCGCGGAGCACACAUUCUCGUGGGGGGGUCGCUGAACCCCGCCCCUGCCCCUUGGCCUCCUGUGGGAAUCGACGAGAACCUCCCCAACAAAACCAACAGGCUGUUCAUGCGGAGUGCGCUACACCGUCCCUGCAUCUGCAGAGACAGGAGGGCCGGCCCGGAGCUGAGCAGCUUUGUAGUUAAAAAGAAAGAGAAGAAAAGAAAGAAAGUUUAAAAAACAAAACACAGCAGCUGACAACUACAGUAGCGACAAACCGUCCAGAAGCGCAGUCACGGAGACGGUCCCACCACGGUCCCACCUUAAUGGCUGCAAACAGAACAACAUACCCAGUAGCAAAUUCAACCAAAGAAGUGUAACAGUUGCACGCUGGAAAUUACAAAACACCCUGGAAAGAAAUUGAAAAAGGUCUAACUGCGUGGACGGAUAUCCAGGGUUCUCAGAUCGGAAGACUCCGUGCUGUGGCCGUGCCCCAGCUCCCCGGAUUCACCCGCGGCCUCCACGCCAUCGUUGUCAGAACCCCGGCGGGCUUUUCACGAGCUCAUCCUAGAGUCCACAGGGGACCGCCCGGGCCUCAGAGGGGCCCAAACAACCUCAAAGAAGUACAAAGUUGCUGGACUCGUGCAAAGCUGUGGUCGUUGGGACAGCGUGGUGCCCGGCGUGAAGCCAGACCCAGGAUCCCUGGAGCACGCUCGAGAGCCCAGCAACACACCCCACUUUCCUGGUCGGUUGGUUUCAGCGGGGGCCCUGAGACGAAUCAGCGAGAGAGAAAGAACAGUCCUUUCAACCCGCAGUGCUGGGACAGCUGGGUGUAUGUUCACACGCCACAGAGCCGAGGGGCCCCACCCCUUGCCAUGCCCAAAGAUCAACUCAAAAUGAGCUCAGAUGGGUCACGGUCCCCAGUGUAGGACCUGACUGUUAGAUAAUAGUUCUUUACCUCUGACACUGAAAGCACAAGCAAAAUAAGAAAAAACACCCAAGUUAGACCCGGCCAAAAUUGAAAACCUUGGCGCGUCCAAGGAUAUCACGGAGGAUGUGGAAAGACAACCCACAAGAUGGCAGAAAAAAUUUGCAUAUCAUAGAUCUGGUAAUAGACGAGGAUCUAGGACAUGAGAAGAGCUCUUAACAAUGCCCCCCCCCAUAACCCAACUUAAAAAAUGGACAAAGGAUCUGAAUCAACAUUUUUUCAGCGAAGACAUAGAUCGCCACUAAGCACACGGGAAGAUGCUCAGUGUCACUGGUCGCCAGGGAGAUGCCCAGGAGAGCCGCGGGGGGGUAUGCCUUCACGCCCACCUGGACGGCCACCAGAAAGGCCCCCAUAAAAGAGACAGAGGGGAGCGCGGGUAGUGAGGGUAUGGAGAAGUGGGCCCGGCUGGCUGGCGGGGAGAGAGAUAGCAACAGUUCCUCCAGACGCUAAACUUAGAGUCACCGUGUGACCUGGCAGUUCCCCUCAGAUGCUUCCAAGAGAAACAGAAACCUGCACAGCCGAAGGCGGGAAGCGGCCAAGGGCCCACUGGCGGGCGAGUGGACGUUAGACCGGUGGCGAUGGUUGCACAACGCCGUGGAUGUGCUAAAAAAAACCAAAACCAAAACUCAAAAACCACUGAACUGUACACUUUAUCUUGUAAUUCUUUUUAAAGAUUAAAAAAAACUUUUUUAAGUAAUGUCUAUACCCACCGUGGGGUUCAAACUCACGACCCCAAGACCCAGAGUCGCGUGCUCCACCAACUGAUCUGGCCAGGUGCCCCAAACUAUAUAUACACUUUACAUGAGCGAAUUUUAUGGUAUGUGGAUUCUAUCUCUGUAAGGCUGAAAAUGGGGAAGUUUCAAGUGGGUUCUGAUUGGAGGCUGUGGCCUGGGGGAGAUGGAGGUGGCCAGCCAAGAGAGGAGCUUCCCGUGUGCUUGAUUUGGAAGGCAUAUUUGGCUUUGUCUGGUGGGUGCAAAAUAGGGAAAUCGGGGCAGAAACAAAGACGGUCCAGGUCAGGUGGAUGGAGAAUGGGAAGUUUGGUUGAGGGAGGGUCUUGCUGAGCUCUGAAGCUUGUCUGGGCUCAGGAAUGCCCACGCUGGGACAAUCGGGAUGGGGGCUGGGGACGCCCAGGCCCCGGAGGUCCUGUUUGGUGGAUGCAGCAGGCCGAGGGGAAUCAGACAGACACAGGGAGAAAGGAGUGUGAAGGGGAAGGCAGAGAUCAGGGUGAUGCUUCUACCAGCCCAGGAACCCCAAAGAUGGCCAGCAACCCGCCAGCAGCAGGGGGAGGCGCCUGGACCAGAUUCUCCCUCACCCACACCUGGGUCUUGGACUCCCAGCCUUGAGACUUCGAGAAAAUAAAGGUCCACUGUCUAUACCCGCUGGUCCGUGCUACUAGGUUAUGGCUGCCCCAGGAGAUUCAGGUGAGACUCAGGGAUCCACGGGCAGCACCGUGUGGUGCUGGCCAGUCUGAAAGGGCCUGGUCACAGUGCUUCCCGAAGUCCUCUAUGGCACCCUGAUUGGUCCUGGGGGAGGAGCUGGGGCCUCCGCUCACCGUUCCACAGUCUGCAUGGCCACGGGCCCACUGCCGCCCCUCCUGCCACAUUGGACGUCGAGUCCCUGGGUCCGGGCAGUUGCAGGUGGGUCCUGUGCUGGUCGAUCCAACACCCUGUAAGCCCUCAUCAAGGCGGGUUGGAUGAGCUUCCGUGCUCGGGGAAGACCAGCCUGGCCUGUGCGUCCGUUCCACCGAAGACGCACGGCUGCCCCUUGCAGGUGGAGGUCUCUGAAGGGACCGGCUGGCCUCCAGAGGGAUGGUGUCAUAGCAGGCACCCGGCAGUGGCCUGGGGGGCAGGCUUGAUGGGAGGGCCUGCCUCGUCUAUCGCCAAGGUUGCUCUGCUCAGAGGCCCAGGGGGCCGCAUCUGAGUGGCCGAGGUCAGAGCCCAUUCUGUGUAUUGGUUGCCCAUGCCUCACUUGCUGGACACGGACUCGUGCUCCUAAGACCCCUGCCUUUCAUGGCCACCCCUAUAGGUCCGCCCGUGUGCCUCCUCCCCAGGGCUGGGGGAAACGUCCACGAUGCCUUCUUGACGGGGGAGGAACAGAACCCAUUCGGGGGAGGAACAGAACCCAUUCGGGAGAUGCCUGGCCCCGAACCACACCCCGAGGCCAUGCCAUCUGCUCGGGCAGAGACCCAGGGCUGCCCCAGCAGCUGCAAGUUGCGUGCGACUCAGGAGCCUGCCCUCAGCACGGGAGCUUGUGCCAAGGGGCCGCAUCCAAGGAGACCGGCCCGUGCUCUGCUUCCCGGACCCAGUCUCCGUGUCCUCCCUGGGGACAAGCCACUCCACGCCACCCGGCCUCCGUCCAGUGACUUCCCUCCACUCCACUCCACUUCCCUCCACUGCAGGGUCACCUUGAAAGAAGCAAGGAGCUUACCUCACUUCCCCCGCUUGCCAUUGGUUGGAACUCAGUCAUGUGACCGGCCUUUGCAUUCAUGGGGCCACAUACCCAGACCUGCCUUCUGGAGGAAGAGAGGCAUGGAGCGGGGCUGAGUGCCCCCCAAGGCCGCCAAGACCUGCUGACAGUGGCCAACUCCCCACCAUGGGAAUGAGCCCGUCCAAGACCAGUCAAGCUGAGCCCAAUCAUGUGAGCUGCAAAGCUUACCGUCGUGCCCGUGGAGGUCCGAGAGAGCAAGAGAGCACAAGCAGGGGGAACAGUAGAGAGAGAGGGAGAAGCAGGCUCCCCACUGAGCAGGAAGCCCGAUGCGGGGCUCGACCCCAGGACCUGGGAUCAUGACCUGAGCCGAAGGCAGACACUUCACCGACUGAGCCACCCAGGCGCCCCUAAAAGCUUUUUGAGGCAAUGCUGCGCCCGAGUUGGGGCAGGCAAGGCAAAGAUCCGAAGACGGGUAAGGCCUGUCUGGGAGAGCCCCUGGCGGCUGCCAUCCGCGUGGCAGAUAGACACGAGAGCAAAUAAACCCCAACAUUCCCCUGGCUCUGCUAAGCCACGCGUGGCACAGUCUGGCUCCGUCCUGAGCUACGCCCGGGGGACAUGAGGCCUCCAGGGUCGCCAUGCGAGGGGAAGGGAGCACCGUGGGACGGGGCAGGGGCUCUGGAGGGGCCACUCCUGCCCAUGUGCCCCUGGCCAGGGAGAGACAGCAGACCCGGCACAUCACCUUGUCCCGUCUCCCUUGUGCCACACACUCGAGACCACACCAGCCCGAUGGCGUCCGACCUGCCUCCGCUCCUGGACCACGUGGCACCAUGACACACCACACGCCACUUCUGUGGCCGCUUCUGUGGCUCUGAUACAGUGGCCCCUCACCUUCAGGCAGCUGGACGUUUGGCUUCCUCUGCGUGGAAUGUCCUGCCGCCCAACAUACACACGCACACACCCGUACGCACGCCCGUGCACGUCCACGUGCAUGUGUCCACGCGUGCCUCCUCGCUCGCUUCCCUUGCAGCUUGGAGCUUGUCUCGCUGCGGAGAUUCUGGGCAUCAGACGCCGGGGAGGAGCCACGCCGCAGGCUGUCUGACUGCGCGCUGUCCCCAUCCAGCUUUUACGAAGAACGCAAAAUGGAAUACCUGGCGGGAAACGAGGAGAUUGGGAAACGUGGACCUCCUACCAAGAGAAGGCCGUGGAUGCUUCCAGAAGCACGCGGCAGACAUGCUAGGGACACUCAGCCAAGUCUAACACUCAUGGGAAGCCCAAGCAGCUGAAAUAACGGACUGGGGGACGUGGGUUUGCCUUGUCCUAAGCAAUGGAAAUACUCAUUAUGUCCGAAAUAAAAGUUUUUGGAAAUCUUGU